GGCUGAUAUGAACUGGGGUGAGUCAUAGAUUAAGAACAGAAAAGCAGAGAGAGUUACAGAAUGAUGUAAUUUAAUCUGUUUUGCCCUCCUUCUAGUGCUUUGAUGGUUAGAUGUGACAGGACUUGGAGUUUGGGCUGAGCAGCUGAGACUAACUUAUUUCUAAGUCCUUAGGUUUUCCAUCACACAUUAUCCCAGUUAUCUGAGACAAAAAACCAAGAUGUUACACUUAUAAUAAUGCCUAACCUUGGCACUUAUAGAGCUCUUUAUUAC
rnacentral:lncRNA from 1 species